GAUGAACGCUAGCGGCAGGCUUAACACAUGCAAGUCGAGGGGUAGAGGAAGCUUGCUUCCUUGAGACCGGCGCACGGGUGCGUAACGCGUAUGCAAUCUACCUUCAACAGGGGGAUAGCCCAGAGAAAUUUGGAUUAAUACCCCAUAGUAUUUUUGCCUGGCAUCAGGUGAUUAUUAAAGUUCCAACGGUUGAAGAUGAGCAUGCGUCCCAUUAGCUAGAUGGUAAGGUAACGGCUUACCAUGGCUCCGAUGGGUAGGGGUCCUGAGAGGGGGAUACCCCACACUGGUACUGAGACACGGACCAGACUCCCACGGGAGGCAGCAGUGAGGAAUAUUGGUCAAUGGGCGCAAGCCUGAACCAGCCAUGCCGCGUGCAGGAUGAAGCAUCUAUGGUGUGUAAACUGCUUUUGUACGGGAAGAAACACCGGUUCGUGAACCGGCUUGACGGUACCGUAAGAAUAAGGAUCGGCUAACUCCGUGCCAGCCGCCGCCGUAACAC
rnacentral:rRNA from 1 species